GGACUGAUCGACAGCCUUCCUUUUCGCAAGUGGUGUCAGUUCGACGAGCGUUGAAACGUGCUGGGUUGUUAGUUUCAUCGAGACCGAGAGAAUUUAUUGAAUUUUAUACAUUUCAAAAUGUUCCAAGAACUCCUGAAAAUCAUCCUCAUCACAUUGAUAUCGCUCAUCGCGGUAAUGGCUAUCCCAGACAGCGUCACAUCGUUGCCCUGUCCGCCGGGCUUCCCGCACUGCGCGAAUUGGGACCCCGAUAAUCUCUAAAGAACUACCGCAACAGAGACUGGAGGAAGCCGUCAACCGGGGUCUUCACGGUGAGACGCAAGGAAUGCCAACAAGAGGAAGAGAGGGAGAAGUGGAAGGAGGACGGAGUACCAUAUACCGAAAAGCCCUGUCGUGGUUUUAGCGACGCGGACGGAUGGCUUGCGUCUCAUUGUAUGCAUAUUCGAACAGCUGGACGCCAGUGGCAUAUAAACACCAUGCCAUACCUGUAUGUCGCUCAUAGGAGUCCAAUGAGACUUAAAUCUACAGCUACCUCUCACUAAAUUCUCCUCCAACUCUUUGUUAAACAUUUAUUGAAAGAUGAUGGACUCAUUGAUGCCGAAAUACAUUACCUCCGUACGAUUAGUUUGCUAGGUUAUUUAUAGGAUUAAAUUAUCGAUUGUAAUUUUAUAAUUGUUAAUCAAUUAAACGAAUUGUGUGAACUUGAAAA